rnacentral:lncRNA from 1 species
UUAGGAGCUGCACAGUAAAGGUCCCAAAAUACACACCACCACGAGUGCAAAAACCGAGGCUGUUCUCCCAACGUGAUGUUUUUUUUUUUCCCAGAGAAUCUCCGAUAAGAAGGUCUGUGCAGAUUUCUGUGUUCCUACCUGCAGUAAAUAUUCGUAGACGUAUAAAGCUAACUUUUCCCCAGCCUGCCCGUCCGAGGGCACCAACGAGCCUUUGUCUUUGGCAAACAUGGUUUGCAGGGAAGAGGGCUCCAAGCCUCGCCACAGCCGCCACCGCCCCGGCUCUCCCGAGCUGCCCCUGGCUCCCGGCCCCCUCCCAGGCGCUCGCUCGCUCUCUCGCUAGCUGGCGCUCUCCUCGCCGCGCUCCCCUCCCUCCCGACCAGGCGCUGGCUCCGCGCUCUUUUCAGCUGUCAAAGCAUCAGCCCGGACCACGGCCCCAUCGCCCUGGAACUCCUCCCGUGCCGGCUGGGCCUGGGGUGCCGCCGCGGCCUCCCGAAAGGCCGCCAGGUCUCCGCUAG